UUUUGGUUUAUUUAUUUUUUUCUUAUUAUUAUUCUAUUUUUCAUUUUUUUAUGCUCUGGAACCAUCUUGGAGACAAAGUUUCUUUCUGAAGACUGGAAUUUUCUAAGGUUCUCACCAGGUAUUGAAAGACCAGGCAUUGGAAAAGGCUCCCCAGGGAAGUGGUCAUAGCACCAAACCUGACAGAAGUCACUCAAGAAGCAUUUGGACACCACUCUCAGGCACAUGGAGUGAUUUUUGGGAUGUCCUGUGCAGGAAAACAAAUCGCUCAAGAUGCUUACGUGUGUUAAUUGCCAAAACCAUUUUGAAAAACACCUCUGAAUGCUGACUUCACGCAGUGGGAACUGCUAGGUCAUACCUUUACAGAAGAUGGUACUCCCUCCAAAGUGACAGAGUUGCCCCAGUACAAAAAGGUUUUUUUGGACUGGGGAAACAGAUCCAAUGCAGCCAGUUGAGAUAAUUUCUCACCUAGUAGAAACCCCCUGCAUG